rnacentral:tRNA from 1 species
GCGGGUAUAGUUUAGUGGUAGAACAUAUCGUUGCCAACGAUAAAACGGGAGUUCGAUUCUCCCUACCCGCA